rnacentral:rRNA from 1 species
UGUCUCCUAAAUAGGGACCUGUAUGAACGGCUAAAUGAAUAUUUAACUGUCUCUUUUAACUAAUCAGUGAAACUGAUCUUCCAGUACAAAAGCUGGAAUAAUAAUAUAAGACGAGAAGACCCUGUGGAGCUUUAAAUUUCAACCAACAUAUAAUUACCACAGUUAUUUAUGCUUAACAUUUUAAGUUGGGGCGACUUCGGAUAAAAACUAAACAUCCGAGCAAAUAAGGCACUGCCUAAAAAAGGCCUACAAGCCAAAGCUAAUAUUGACCCAGUAAUACUGAUUAACGAACCAAGUUACCCCAGGGAUAACAGCGCCAUCUUCUUUAAGAGUUCAUAUCGACAAGAAGGUUUACGACCUCGAUGUUGGAUCAGGACACCCAAAUGGUGCAGCCGCUAUUAAAGGUUCGUUUGUUCAACGAUUAACAGU